UUGCCCCAUCUAUUAUAUGAGGACAAAAGUUAGAAAAAAUCUCACGGAACAGGGUAAACUUAUGGAAAGAUUCAGCCUACCCUGACAACCUACCGCUCUCGUCAAUGAUGGUGCAUACAGGCUCGUAGGGGGCUAGUCGCUAGGUGGCCCAGGUGCUGUGCUGAGCUGAGCUGCUGAUGGCCACAUUUAUCAUGGCGUCGUAGCGGCUAGUUAUAUCACGGCAGCCGAACGUGGCAGACCUUUAUUUUUGUAGGUGAAAUCCAAGGGAGGAAAUGCAAAUGCUCGGCGCCAUCUUGUACGAACGAUGUGGUCUGGCGGACACCUUACCAAGGUUUUUAACUUGUGCAUCGUAACGAUUUUGAAUUGGGUAAGUUGCAAGUCGGUAGAUUUGCUCUGCAGUUUCCCGGAUACCAGCACCCUGCUUCGCGAGAACUACUCUACGUUGUUCUGGGGGGGAUUAGACGAACAUCUGAAUCCGAUUUUGAAGAAGUCUUGCAUCGAUGGACACUGACAAAAUAUAGGAAGCUGCACAUGAAUGUUGGGUAUUUUAUCAUAAGUAGAAUACAGAUAGAUUCUGUAGUAGUAGAUCUCUUUAGUUGGGUAUUGAAAUUGGCUUUGGUUUGUAUGGGGUCUGAUGAGGUCUCAGUUGCAUUUGAUCCUACUUGUUAUUUAUCACUGCCAAUGCCAGUCGAAAAGGAAGUACCAGUUGACCUGUAUCUGGCUAACGUGGACCUUUUAGCAGAAAUUUUUCUGCUUUCAAGGGAUUCAAAGAGUUUGUAGAAUAUUAUGUCUCUAGGAUUCCACAGUUUUAGGUAAUUCAAUUGACAAGAAAUUUACACUGAUUCUUGUUUUAUUUUUCUAAAGGCAGAUUCUUAAUUAUAAAGGAUUGGGAAAGAAAAUUGACGGAGGCUCAGUGCCAAAAAAAUUAUGGUAGUUGGAAUGAUUACCGAAGCUCUUCGGAUUCGUUUAUUUCACUCGUUAUGCGGGUCAUGCAGAUACUGUGAUCAGCAGAAAAAGUUGGAAGUGCGCUGCCCGGAAAGCAAAUCUGGGGUAAAAGAAAAAAACUUAUUCCAACUAGUAAGCCAUUCCCAAAUUCAACCAACAAAAAGGAAAAGGUGGAAGGAAAAACUUCGUUCUCUGGUAGUGUUUUAGUUAAAAUCCUUUUUGUGCAAAUUCAUUUUUGAAAUUGUUUACCUCAUUUUCGAAUGGUUCCGUUCACAUUUGUUGUUCAUGUGAGAUUUUAUGUUUACCAGUUACUGCAUUAUAUUGACCACUAUUGCAAGAUGUUUGUUUAGGAAUAACUACUGUUUUGUUUAUCUGGAAUGUUGUGUGGGAGUCCAUCAGGAAUUGCUGGUCUGCAGUAAAUUUGUCAGGCUAGGUGAUGAAGAUCAAUGAAUCAGAAAAUGUUUUGCAUGGGUGGUGAAUGUUCUGACAGUUUUAACAGUUGUGAUGUGGUGUAUUUCACUUCCACGCAUCAUGGUGUUUUUAUCUAUCAGUUGAAUUGUAUGGUUAAUUUUCUGUUCGUGUAACCUCAUUUCCUCUUGAAUCAUAUAGUAGAAAUUGGUGACCUGAAACAAUGAACAUGGAAAAAUCACCUGUGCCAACGUUGACGAUGUUUGAUUGAUGAAGUGCUGGAAACUAAAAUUAAUUUUCUUUACAAUUUGGUUUCAGGCUAUCUUUAUAAUUUUUUAUUAGUUUUGCGUUUGUUUAGAGUCCGCAAGCUCGUAGCUGAUUUCCUCCUUUAGAUACCGCCUGUCGACGGUUUGACAGCCUCACACAAUUGAACGUAUGCCAAAAAGCCAAAGUGAGCUCUUCCGAUCAGAAAAGUGACGGCGUAUCCAUUUAAUUGAAAAUAGGCACAAGAUAACGCACAAUUGGCGUUCUUGCCUCAAUGGAGAAAUUUUUCCGUGGAACUUAUGACCGAAAUACCAUUGCAGCUGUUCAAAAAAAAAGAAAAGUGUAUUAUCAUGCAGAUGUUGACUAGCUAACAAUCCAGAGAUACGUCAACUUGCGAAAUUUCUAGAUGUGUGUGAAGCGCAAUCAGCAUCCUUGUUGAACUGUGAACCCAAAUCAUGUAUUUUCCUAGAAAUAUCUAGGUUUUUGGAUAAAUAAAUAAAAGUCAGUGAAAAAAUGUGA